CUUAUUGUUAUCCUUCUGGGCCUCUGGAGACUCCUGAAAUGCUUUAUUGGGGCUAGAGAAAGGAAACAAUGCAUCAGGGAGGCUGUUUCAGAGACGCAAGCUCUCACAGGCAGACAGCCAAAAGAGGCAGAAGUCUGAAAAAAGAGCUGGAAAAACUUCUGGUGAUUCUUCCCUCAUUUAGAAUUUUAGAGCCCACUGAGGCAACAGCAGAAAGAAAUCACUGUCCCUCCUCAGGGAUGUGAUUGCUGAGGGCAAGCAGUGCUGCCUUAAGCUUACUUACAUAGCCUAGUUUAGAUGUUCAUCUAAUCCAGCUCCAAUGCUUUGAAUGAACAAUUUGGUUGGAACCGAAGUGAUACUGGUGCUUGGAUAAAUGCCAGCUUGCUGAUCCUCUGUCUGAUGAAUACUGAAGAAAACAACUGGAAGACUUGGCAGAAAUUACAUCAGCAUCCCUGAUUGAGAGUGUGCACCUGCCACUUGCUGUUCAGCUGGCCAUAAGAUCCAGACAUUCCUAUCCCUCUGAAGAGGAUCUGAAUCUAGGAACUAUGGCAGAAGUGAGAAAGGAUCCUGGGGAAUAACUAGCAUACAUGAAGAUGCUCAAGUAUUAAGGACGCUAGUGAUGUGAAAGCCCUGACUUGUUCCUGGUCUGGUAGUGAUCUGGUGCACUUGUGCUAGCAGAAGUAUCAGAACAGUGUAGAAGAAUUGUCCUUCCUCUUGACAACUUGCCAUCCCAUACCCAAGUACUUAGAGUGCUAGCUUAAUGGGAGAUCCACAUUCUCUGCUUGCCUUGGAGAACGACUCCAACUCUUGCCUCAGAGAAGAUAAGGUUACAAUAGCACUAUAUGAAUCUUUUAAGAAGCCCUUGCCCUUGCGGUGUGAAGAGAGUAUGGAAGAGUACUGCUUUGGGAAAAAAAUAAUAGCAAUGUUUCAGUCAACCUAGGCAGGUGAAGAAGAUAGAGUAGCAAGGGUCAAGGUUUUGUUUAAUCUUUGUUAGAGAAGGAUUUGAACCCAAGUCUCUCACAACUGUUGGCUGUUGAAUGAUGGAGAAGCCAAUUGCGUCCACUUCUGCAUCUCCUGAGAGAGGAUAGAUGUGGUGGCAGCUCUGAGCCAAUGAGCCACCACCCAGUUCGUAGGUAGUGAGCACCUCUCUUUUAGAUGCUUCCCAUCACUUGAGGAGCCUCCACACUUAUUUUCCUUGAACCUCAUUGAGAAGUACCUCAUUCUUCUAUAUGAAGUACCAGGAUACUGUAUAUUACAAAGGACUGUGAGUUCUAAUAUAUGCCAGCCCACAUGAUUUCAGUACCUGAGUCUCUGAAUGGAUUAGCUCCUGACUGCUGUAUGCUUCAGUUCACCUUUGAUACGGGCAUUAACAUUGAAGUCUGAACUCUCAGUGGUGAUGUAGAAGACAAACGCAUGAAAGAUUGUCCAGUACUGAGACACUGUUGUGAGGUGGCAAUAGAAGUAGCUAAGGUAAGUCAUGAGGAAGAGUCUGUAUCACGUACAACUAUCGUUCAUCCACCUCAAGGAAGCCCUAAGCAUUUCCAAUGCAACGGGAUUCUGCAUAUUUCAACAUUACUCAAUCAGCGUGAGAUUUUCAAUAGCACCCCUUGGAGGGUCAGACUGAGCACCAGCAAGGAGCACAAGGAAUUAUUUUCCAAGAAAAAUGGUUGGGACUAAGCAUUAAACAAUGUACUUGACCAUCAUGCUUUAGCAUUAAAACACAUUUCU
ensembl:lncRNA